rnacentral:snRNA from 1 species
GGGCUCACUUUGGCAGCUCAUAUACUAAAUUUGGAAUGAUACAGAGAAGAUUAGCAAGGAUGACACAAAUUUAUGAAGCGUUCCUUAGUUUC